rnacentral:rRNA from 1 species
AGCGAACGCUGGCGGCAGGCCUAAAACAUGCAAGUCGAACGCCGUAGCAAUACGGAGUGGCAGACGGGUGAGUAACACGUGGGAACGUGCCUUUUGGUUCGGAACAACACAGGGAAACUUGUGCUAAUACCGGAUAAGCCCUUACGGGGAAAGAUUUAUCGCCAAAAGAUCGGCCCGCGUCUGAUUAGCUAGUUGGUGGGGUAACGGCCCACCAAGGCUACGAUCAGUAGCUGGUCUGAGAGGAUGAUCAGCCACACUGGGACUGAGACACGGCCCAGACUCCUACGGGAGGCAGCAGUUAGGAAUCUUGGACAAUGGGCGCAAGCCUGAUCCAGCCAUGCCGCGUGAGUGAUGAAGGCCUUAGGGUUGUAAAGCUCUUUCAGCGGGGAAGAUAAUGACGGUACCCGCAGAAGAAGCCCCGGCUAACUUCGUGCCAGCCGCCGCGGUAA